UACAGAGGUCCCAAGCGUUACUGAGAAUCACUGGGUUUAAAGGGUGCGUAGGUGGCGCGUUAAGUCCGUUGUGAAAUCCCUGGGCUCAACCCAGGAACUGCUUCGGAUACUGGCGUGCUUGAGGCCGGUAGAGGUCACUGGAACAGACGGUGGAGCGGUGAAAUGCGUAGAUAUCGUCUGGAACGCCGGUGGUGAAAACGGGUGACUGGGCCGGUUCUGACACUGAGGCACGAAAGCGUGGGGAUCAAACGGG
rnacentral:rRNA from 1 species